GCAAGUUAGUAAGGGUCUGGGGUGGAUGCCUCGGCUGCCCGAGGGGACGAAGGGCGUGUCAAGCUGCGAUAAGCCGGGUGGAGGCGCAAAAUGCCUUUGAGGCCCGGAUGCCCGAAUGGGGAAACCCGGCAGGGUGUUGAGCCCUGUCAUCCGCGCAAGCGGAGCCAACACGGGACGAAGUAAAACCUUCUAGUAGUCCCAGGAAAGGAAAUCAAACGAGACUCCCUGAGUAGCGGCGAGCGAAAGGGGACCAGCCUAAACCGCACGGGUGCCAUGGUGGCAGCCUUAGCUCGUGCGGGGUAGCGGGACGUAUCCGGAGAGGUCUGCCAGCCUCUCAGGGAGUUACAAAACUUCCACCUAGCCGAAGUGAGCUGGAAUGCUCCGCCACAGAGGGUGAAAGCCCCGUAGGCUAAAGGUGAGAAGUCUCCCGGGGAUACGAUCCCAAGUACCACGGCCCCCGUGGAAGGUCGUGGGAAUCAGGGGGGACCUCCCUCCAAGGCUAAGUACUACGGGCAGACCGAUAGCGCAUAGUACCGUGAGGGAAAGGUGAAAAGAACCCCGGAAGGGGAGUGAAAUAGAACCUGAAACCCCAGAUCCACAAGCCAGUGGAAGGGUCCUUUGGGCCCGACUGCGUGCCUUUUGCAAAAUGAGCCAGGGAGUUGUCCUCAGCGGCGAGGUUAAGCCGUCAGGCGAAGCCGUAGCGAAAGCGAGUCCGAAUAGGGCGUUAAGUCGCUGGGGGCAGACGCGAAGCGGAACGAUCUACCCAUGCCCAGGGUGAAGGGCGGGUAAUGCCGUCUGGAGGCCCGAACGGGUCGGUGCUGCAAAACCGUCCGAUGAGGUGUGGGUAGCGGUGAAAAGCCAAUCGCGUUCCGUGAUAGCUCGUUCUCCCCGAAAUAGGUCGACGCCUAGCGUCACCCGUUCCUUCCCGGAGGUAGAGCCACUGGUUGGGCUAGGGCCUCGAGAGGGGUACCGAACCCUGCCAAACUCCGAAUGCCGGGAUAGGUAGGGUGGCAGUCAGUCCCCGGGGGAUAAGCUCCGGUGGACAAGAGGGAAACAGCCCAGACCGCCAGCUAAGGUCCCAAAAUCCGGGCUAAGUGGGGAAGGAUGUGCGGCUGCUAAGACAGCUGGGAGGUUGGCUUAGAGGCAGCCAUCCUUUAAACAGUGCGUAACAGCUGACCGGCCGAGCGGCCGUGCGCCGAAAAUUUAGCGGGGCUCAAGCCCGGUACCGAAGCUGCGGGCUCGCGUAAGCGAGCGGUAGGGGAGCGUUCCCUGUGGGCUGAAGUCUCACCGUAAGGUGGGAUGGACUGCAGGGAAGUGAGAAUCCUGGCAUGAGUAGCAGCGAAGACAGGUGAGAAACCUGUCCGCCGGAAGCCCAAGGUUUUGGCGGCAAUGUAAAUCAUCCGCCAGUUAGCCGGGACCCUAAGGUGAGGCCGAAAGGCGUAGCCGAUGGGAAGCGGGUCAACAUUCCCGCGCCAGCGGUGUGGAGCCAGAGUCGUGACGCAGGAGGCUAGGGAGAGCCGGCUAUGGAAUGCCGGUCUAAGGUAGUAGGAGGGGGUGGCAGGCAAAUCCGUCACCCCAUACUCCGAGAGCCGAUGGGGUAACUCUCCUGACGCCACACUGCCGAGAAACAACGGCGCUGGCGUUGAAGCACCGCUGCCCGUACCGGAAACCGACACAGGUGGGCUGGGUUAGUAGCCUAAGGCGUCGGGGGAACUCUCCUCAAGGAACUCGGCAAGUUGCCCCCGUACCUUCGGAAGAAGGGGGGCCCGUGGAGGUGAAGCCCUCGCGGCGUAAGCCUCUGCGGGUCGCAGAGACCGGGCGGUGCCGACUGUUUACCAAAAACACAGGACUACGCAAACCCGUAAGGGGCUGUAUGUGGUCUGAAGCCUGGCCAGUGCCCGUAGGUGAAGGGGCGGGGUGCAAGCCCCAAACCGAAGCCCGGGUAAACGCCGGCCGUAACUCUGACGGUCCUAAGGUAGCAGUUGCUGCCUGAACCUCGCUGUAUGCGGGGAAGCCCUUAGAGCUCCAGCUACGAGGUGCAAAAAGGCACCCGUAAAAAUGCUGGAGAUUGGGCAAUCCGCAGGAAAUCCCUAAAAGGGAGAUCCUCAGAGACUGUACGCGAGGGCCUUUGCCUCGCGAAGGAGGGAAAGGAUGGAACUUUCUCCAGAUUGGGUUGUAGGUUUUGUGGAUGGAGAGGGUUGCUUUCACGUUAGCGUAAACGAAAACCCAAAGACCAAGCUGGGCUAUCAGGUUCUUCCCGAGUUUGUGGUGGUUCAGCAUCAGAGAGAUAUACAGGUGCUCUACGCGCUGAAAAGCUUCUUCAAAUGCGGAGUGGUAAGGAAGAACAACGGAGAUAGGUGGUGCUACAGAGUUAGAAAACUGGCGUGCCUGAAGGCUAUAUGUGAGUUCUUUGUGAAGCACCCUCUCAAAACUAAGAAAAACGUGGACAGAAUUAGGUUCUGUAGGAUUGUGGGCUACAUGCUUGAAGGAAGACAUUUAAGCGUGGAAGGUCUUCUGGAGAUUAUAGAUGUGGCCCUUCGGAUGAACACACAGCAAAGGGAUGCCCUCCUUCGCAUAAAAAAGGACCUGGAGGCAAAGGUAAGAUACAGUCCACCCCUUGGCGAAAGCCAAGGAGAAAGGUGAGCGAAAUUCCUUGUCGGGUAAGUUCCGACCUGCAUGAAUGGCCCAACGAGUGCCGCACUGU
rnacentral:rRNA from 1 species